GGAAAAUUACAUGCAUGUGGCUUUGGAUUGAUGGAUGAAUGCAGAGCCGGAGGCAACAAUUUCAACUUACAAAUACUCCAGAGAAUGAAUGCAGUUAAACUUGAGGUAGAACGAAGGCUCAUCUGUCAGAUCCUAACCACCAGAGCUUGUUCAGGUGACACCCUCAUACAUCCUGGAGCAGAUAAACAUCUGCAGUUUAUGACCUGAGCCGAUGAUAUGUGGCUCUGCCUCAGUUCUCUGUAACAGCGUCUCACUCAGAGAUGGUUGUCUCAGGAGAACAAGCCACUAUAAAAGCCUCAUCUUUCAUGUCAUCCUCCUGGCUCUGAAUCAGCAAGUUUGCAAAGUGAAGUGAACGUUCAUCGACCUUUGAUUCGCCUCAGAAAGUUCUCAAAACACGAAUCAUCCUGCACAUCAUGGCGCUACAAGUCCGAGUCAAAUCGGAUCAAAGUGUUUGACAAGACACGUUUGUCCUUCUGUCCCCACAGGAGACUCAGUGUGUUUAAAAUCACAAUUUUGUUCUUUAAUAUCAAUUAUUGUCAUUUUGGUCCUCAAAAUACCAAA